UAAUGGCAGCAGAGCAAGCAGCUCACACAACAAUUCUCUAUCCUCAGUCAAGUCCUGUAACACUUCCCGGGGGAUCCCUAGGCGUUCACAAGCCUGCUUUGAAAUAUAACCUCUCCAGUGUCUCCUGAGUGUUGUCC